UGUGAUCUGCAGAUCAAGUCUGAACAGCCAAUAAUUCAGUGGUUUGCUCCGCUUUCGUCCCAUUCCCAGUCGGUCAGCCAGUUACGAACACAUAUGGAAUCAUCUCUGCAGGCUUCAUACCUUCAUGGAGGUAUUGUGGAAGCAGAA